UACGUAAGGGGCAAGCGUUGUCCGGAAUUAUUGGGCGUAAAGGGUGCGUAGGCGGCCCUGCAAGUUGGAUGUGAAAUCCCCCGCGCUUAACGUGGGAAUUGCAUACAAAACUGUGGGGCUUGAGUGUGGAAGAGGUAAGUGGAAUUCCCAGUGUAGCGGUGAAAUGCGUAGAUAUUGGGAGGAACACCAGUGGCGAAGGCGACUUACUGGGCCACAACUGACGCUGAGGCACGAAAGCGUGGGGAGCGAACAGGAUUAGAUACCCCGGUAGUCCCUGAGCGGG
rnacentral:rRNA from 1 species